rnacentral:misc_RNA from 1 species
CAAAUUCGCACUCCGGCGCGGCGGCACCGUCCAUCCGCGGUGGCGCUCUCGCCGCCGCGGCGACCAACGCCCAAAUCGCCGCCACACACCCAGAUUCAACAAGUCCUACAUGAUGCGCACAUGAACGCGGAGCGGAAUGGGGUGGUUCUCACCGAAACUGCAGUGGUUACACCCGGCCGCGGCGGUCCGUGGUACAGCGGCGACAACGGAAGACCGACGAGCAAUCCAGAGCCCCGCCGAUCCAAUCUCCACCCACCGAGGCCUCGAGCAGGUCCGUGGUGAUCCCCCGAAGCUCCAAGGCCAGCCGAGCGGACCGCGCUCGAGCGCCGGGGGCACUGACGGAGUUCCCAGGGCCGAGCACGCGCCUACGGUGGCGACAUUACCUUCCUUCCCUGCGGCGAUGGUGGCCUCCGUCAGGGCAACAUGGCGGAGACGCCGUGAUUCUAGCGACCCGGCGAGGCAGGCUGGAAGUGCGGCCGCGCGGCGUGGUCUCUCACUCGUCUACCCUCACACCGGUCCUGAAGCACGGCGGCCAGGGAGGUCGACGGAAGGCGCUAGCAGGGACGCGUGCACGGUGGAGUUUCAACGGCUGGCGAGGGGCCAUGGGGAAGCAGGGGCGCGGCAGAGGAGCUCGCAAUGGGAUGAACGGAAGUUCUGGCCGAGCAGUCCGGGUAGGGAGUCUCCGCCAUGGGAUGAACGGCGCCCGCGCAGCCGUGGUGGAUGUUGCUGGGGAGGGGACGGCCCUCGGUUUUAUCCCAGAGUCGAGCCCGAUUUCAGGGGGAGAAGCGGUCGGCGAGCAGCGAGAUUCACGCGACGAACGGCCCGAGCUCCGCGAAGCCACUCCUCCAUCCGCCCGCGCAGGAAGCGGAGAAGAGAUAGGGAGAGGGAAUGGGGAUGGAUCUGCCGGCUGGGGCCCACGAAGCAGUGUAACAUGGGCACACAACAGUGUAUGACAGCACGGUCCCACCCAAGCAGCGACAUAGCGCAGGGCGCCCGAAUUUUUUCUUUUUCACCCCUACUUUUGAAAAAUAUUUACGUUUCGACCCCAGAAAUUUUAUAUGCAAGUUUGGUCCCGAUACUCGACGCCAUAGGCUGUGGCGCCGAGGUAUGACGUGGCAGUAACGGCUCCCUACGCCUAGGGCUGACAUGGCACUGAUGCGGCGCCGAUGCGGCCUCGUAGCUCGGUACCAUAGAUCUUGGCGUCGAACUACGGAGGCCUAUAAAAACGGCCGCGCUGCUGGCCGAGAGCAGCACAUUUCCUCUCGUUUCAAAACUUC